rnacentral:rRNA from 1 species
UAAGGAAUAUUGGUCAAUGGAGGCAACUCUGAACCAGCCAUGCCGCGUGAAGGAUUAAGGCCCUCUGGGUUGUAAACUUCUUUUAUAUGGGAAGAAAUGUACUUUUUCUAAAGUGCUUGACGGUACCAUAGGAAUAAGCACCGGCUAACUCCGUGCCAGCAGCCGCGGUAAUACGUAGGGGGCAAGCGUUGUCCGGAUUUACUGGGUGUAAAGGGCGCGCAGGCGGGAUAAAAAGUCAGUGGUGAAAUCCUACAGCUUAACUGUAGAACUGCCUCUGAUACUUUUAUUCUUGAGUUCGGGAGAGAGAGACGGAAUUCCAGGUGUAGUGGUGAAAUACGUAGAUAUCUGGAAGAACACCAGUUGCGAAGGCGGUCUCUUGGUCCGACACUGACGCUGAGGCGCGAAAGCGUGGGGAGCAAACA